rnacentral:rRNA from 1 species
UACAGAGGUCCCAAGCGUUGUUCGGAUUCACUGGGCGUAAAGGGUGCGUAGGUGGUGGGGUAAGUUUGAUGUGAAAGCUCCGGGCCUAACCCGGAAAUGGCAUUGAAUACUAUCUCGCUUGAGGGUUGGAGGGGAGACUGGAAUUCUUGGUGUAGCAGUGAAAUGCGUAGAUAUCAAGAGGAACACCAGUGGCGAAGGCGAGUCUCUGGACAACUCCUGACACUGAGGCACGAAAGCUAGGGGAGCAAACAGG